GUUUUGAUAUUCUUAAUGGUAAACCCUAGUAUGUGAGGACAGGUUACUAAUUUUAGAGCCAAGCACCUGAUCAACCUACAGGAUUCCCAACUUCUCCAAUAGGAAGGAGUUUUAUCUCAUUUCUCCAUCUACCAGGGAGAAUUAAGUCCAUUUUACCAAUUAAAAAAGAAAAUUGGGACCAUUUCCCCAUUCAUUGAAGAGCAAAAAGUGCACUGCUUGCACUGAUCUCUUUAAACUUGUUAUGGUUCAUCUGUCCUUAUUUAGCAUUUAGACAAUUCAUGAGGAGGAAGAAGCUCAGAUUAGUUAGUAACACAUGUACACUGGCUGUUUGUAUAUACACCAUGCAUAAAUAUCUAAUUCAAAUUCUUUUCAAAGGGCACUGUUAGUUUAUUUUCUUACCUAGAUGAUUGUUUACUCCAGGAUUACACAUAUUUUCCAAAGAGUAAGAACUUAUUAAUCUUUUAAACAAAAUGAGGACAAUUAUUGAUUUUCUGCUACUAUUUUGGGUUUCAUUUUUGGUGUUGCAAAAGCUUUGUAGAUGACACAGAAUCUUUACUUGACAUAAUUGAUACCUUGUAAGAUAAAAGAGUUGAUUUUCUGAAUUGUAAAUAUGGCUGCAGCACAGCCUUUAUGCUGAUAUUAAUACAACGUUACAGUUAUCAAAAUAAAUAAAUAUUGAUUUUCAGCACUUUCAAUAUGCUUACCUUACCAUGAAUGACUUCUUCAA
rnacentral:lncRNA from 1 species